rnacentral:misc_RNA from 1 species
GAUGAAGAACGUAGCGAAAUGCGAUAAGUACUGUGAAUUGCAGAAUUCAGUGAAUCAUCGAAUCUUUGAACGCACAUUGCGCCCGCCAGUAUUCUGGCGGGCAUGCCUGUUCGAGCGUCAUUUCAACCCUCAAGCCCCCGGGCUUGGUGUUGGGGAUCGGCGUGCCCUCGCGGCGCGCCGUCCCCUAAAUCUAGUGGCGGUCUCGCUGUAGCUUCCUCUGCGUAGUAGCAACACUCGCACUGGAUCGCAGCGCGGCCACGCCGUUAAACCCCCCACUUCUGAAAGUUUGACCUCGGAUCAGGUAGGAAUACCCGCUGAACUUAAGCAUAUCAAUAAGCGGAGGA